GUGGUUCCCUGCUUUGCCAUAUCACUAACUUUGAAAUCCAAGGCAGCUGAAUCUUCCCUAGCUGCAAGGGAGGCUGGGAAACGUGUAUCUGGUAUUUCCAGAUUCUUUAGGAAAGCGGAAGGCUCUGACACAUUAGGCAAGGGAAUCCUUCCCAAGGUAGGGGUAGGAUACUGGACAGUCAGUAAACAAAUGACAGUGUCCACUACAGGCCACUUUCUUGGUGACUCAACGUAAGCAUCCCUACAGCUAAUAAUUUAAACUUGCUAAAAAGUCUAUUUAAGGUAAAGUGGUUUAAUGGAAAAAUCAGGUAUUAAUCAGGUAUCAAUGUUACUUCUCUUUGCUAAGAAAAUACUGAUUUGAUUUGGCACAGCUGUGUACCUAGACUUCUUUGCAAUUAGACACGUCUACUUAAUAAUAAGUGAGGCAAAUAUGGACAGAAUUCCAUUUAGAAAUUCUGGAAACUUGAUUUUCCCAUGUAUCUCCAGGGCAGGCAAUUUCCUACAGCAGUAAUCUCCAAUGAUGAGAGAAUAGCAUGACAGAGGAAAGCCAGCAUGCUAAGAGAAAACACUCCUUUUCCCUCCAUGGUGAGGACCGUUCAUACGCAUGGCAGUCUAGGAAACACACAACGGCGCAUUCUCACUAGGUGACGCUACUAAAUUGAAUUCAUGGUGUUUCUUUUGCCCUGUUAAUUAGAACAGACUCCUCCAAUCAAGAUCCAUGAGCUCCACAAAGUAUUUGCGUAGCUGGUGUUAACUUGGUGCUCGAGAAAUGUACCGAAGAGUGCCCGGUGUGAAUGUUGCCGCCGUAUAACUAAGAACAAACAUUGGUCAGUAUCCGAUACAGAAAGGCCCUCAGUACCAGCUAGCAAUCACUGGAGAACUAUCUGGAUUUCGCUUCUGCAGCUGUUUUGUUCUGGGAUUACAGGCAGGUGCCACUACACCCAGUUUCUCUGAUGCUGAGUAAAGUCUGGCGCUGUCAACGCUAGCAAGUGCCACACAGCUCUGCCAUACCCCAAACCUCAUGUGUACUCUUGCUUGGUUCCCUUUACUGUACUUUUCUUUUUAGAGUCUGUUUAUUAAUUCUUGUUCAACUUGUGUAACUCCUACUGAAGUGCUCUACAUAGACCAAAACACGUAACUUAUUUGUUGUUUGCGGGCAGGAGGUCAGAACGUAAUUUGCAGGAGGUGAUUUUCACCUACCUCUAUGUGGGUUCUGGGGACUGAACUCAGACUACCCAGCUUCCAGGUAAGCACUUUCACCCACGGAGCCAGCGCCCUGGCCCUAACAGACACCGUCUUAAAAUAUACAUUUCAGAUUCCAUCCAUAAAAUUCUAUUUCAGUAGGUGAGUGAACCACAUGUUAAGGGACAUGAAAACAUAUAUGGUACUUCUGCAAUGAACAGCUUUCACGUGCUAUUUGAAGGUUAUACUGCUGAAUAUAUUGUGUUAACUGCCAACUGCUUAUGAAAUCCAUGUUGUGCUCUUUGACAAGGUUGCUAUAUACGUGAAUAUGUGCAAACGAUCUAUAACUUUCUUCUUCCUUUUUUUUUUUGAGAGAGGGUCUCCUUGUGUAUUCCUGGAACUCACUCCGUAGACCAGGCUGGCCUCCAAUUCACGGAGAUCCACCUGCCUCAGCCUCCCUAGGGCUAGGAUUAAUGGAGAGCACCGCCACUGCCCAGCUGCACUUUAAUUAGACUCAUUACUCAGGGAAAUCUUCUCAAAAAAGGUUUUUAUUAGCAAAGAUAAUCUUAUACUAAAAUUGUAUACAUUAAAUUCUUCCAUCCACUCCAAGAUAUUAACAUCUGUACACAGGGUGUGAAGAAGCAUUCCUCCUCCGUUCAAUACAGAAACUCUGUAAUACCCUCACAGCAGUUCAGACCAGGCAGAAUUUCCAUGACACAGGGCACUGAACGCUCACUCAACCCCGGGACUAAAAUGAAGAGAUCCCUCUGGUAGCUAAGAGUAAAGAGCUGGGUAAUGAGCACUAGGGGAACAGAAGGCAGACACAGGGGCGCUGUGCACACUGCUGAAACAGUCUGACAAUGCUAUCAUUUUCAAUGAGACCUGCUGUGACAGCUGACAAGUGGUGAAGGACACCUGCCCCUGAAUGGGCCUGCACAGUACAUGUUGGGCACUUAGAGGAUACUGCAAGACCAUCAGCUGGGGUAAACAUUGGGAAAUGAAAUAAGAUGCUUUAAUUUAUGGGAGAAGGUAUUUCUCAAACUUGCUGAAGGAAAUCUGACAAGUCCUAAGACAGCACAUACCUGCUCAUUAACGUCCACUACUCCAAUCGACAUCUAUCAGUAUUACUGGGCUCAGAUGGCCUCAGAAUAUCUGGAUAGACUUUGUUGCUUCAGCUGGAAUUAGUUCUUUGGACCACACAAAAGAAGCUUUAUGAUACAUAAAACGCUAGCAAACAGCUUUUUAAAUACAUCUUUCCUAUGUGGUAUAGUGCUUAGGAUUGGCAAAUAUUGACAGGUUUAAGAUUAUUUCAGCCAUUUUGGGAAAACAAAUAGUGUAAAUGGAUUUAUAAAUUUGAAAUACGAGUAAGCCAAGACAGGGGAAGGAGUUGACAAGGGAAUAGAACGCUCCUGCACCCAAAUCUCAGCAUUAGUCUCAGUUCUUAAAUGCCUGCAAGUCACAGGAAACGUGCUGACUUCCUGUGGGUAAUAAAAGUGCUUCCAUGUAAAACCUAGAGAGAUGUAGAGACAGCAAACAACUGCUGCCAGUGAUUAAACCAUCUAAGCAGUGCUCUUCGUCACCAUCACAGCUAUGUGUUGAUCACCUAGUGGGACACCGUGCCUACAAACUAUGAUGUGGGGAACUCUAGGUUACGCUCUUCACCGCAGGCCGCUACCGAAGCUGAAGAU